rnacentral:rRNA from 1 species
GGAAUUGUUCACAAUGGGCGCAAGCCUGAUGACGCAACGCCGCGUGGGGGAUGAAGGUCUUCGGAUUGUAAACCCUUGUCGAACGGGCCGAAAGACCCGGGAGCUAAUCAUCCUGGGAGUGACGGUACCGUUAAAGGAAGCCCCGGCUACCUCUGUCCCAGCAGCCGCGGUAAUACCGAGGUGGCAAGCGUUGUUCGGAAUUACUGGGCGGAAAGGGCGCGUAGGCGGCCAUCUAAGUCAGACGUGAAAUCCCCCGGCUUAACCUGGGAACUGCGUCUGAUACUGGAAGGCUCGAGUUUGGGAGAGGGAUGUGGAAUUCCAGGUGUAGCGGUGAAAUGCGUAGAUAUCUGGAGGAACACCGGUGGCGAAGGCGGCAUCCUGGACCAACACUGACGCUGAGGCGCGAAAGCUAGGGGAGCAA